UGCCGGCAUAAAUAUGAUCAGCUCCUCUUAAAUGCAUUAGCAGAACCUUUUAAAGGACUAGCUUCAGUUUGAUAAUCCUAUCUAUGCUGUUGCUGUUGAUCUUUGUGUGUUCAGCUUCUAAUGGUCUUUUAGACUGUCUCUAUGAGGCAUACACUUUUAAGCUUGACCUCAAAUCAGGUAGGACUACCCGCUGAACUUAA
rnacentral:misc_RNA from 1 species